GUUUCUUACUCCUGGCUUCACAAUGAAACGGCCUUUGGGGUUUAUAUAGCCAGCCAAAAGAGAUUCUUCCACCGCAGUGUCCUCAAGUUGUCUGUAGCUUUGGACGAGAAUUCUUUCAUGUCAGCUUUCGAAAUUUACUUCUGAGGAGAACAUAUCUUUCUUUUCCAAAAGCAAAGUGAUGGCAACAGAUUCUGUCAUUCUUGUGGAGCACAAUUCCCUAUAAAAAGUAAGGAUUCUAGGUCACAGGGGUCACCGUUACACAGCCGACCAUACUCCAAACUGCUGUGCAUCACCAAACAAAGAAGUUCUUCCAUGGUUAUAAAAUGGUACAGCAUAUUGAUGCCUCUCAUGAACUAAUAGGAAUCCCUAGAAGCAUUAGCUUUUACACAAACUCAGGCUCCAAUAUGGCAGUUUUUGUUACUUACUUUGUCACUGUGACCAGCUAGAAUUGUAUAAUGUUUAUUUCAACAAGAUUGCAUAA